rnacentral:lncRNA from 1 species
CUAAUCCAACUAAUUUUAAAACAAAUAAUAAUGAUACAUAACAUUAAGGGACGAACCUGGUCCCUUAUACUAAUCUCCCUAAUUAUUUUUAUUGCCACAGCUAAUCUCCUUGGACUCUUACCCCACUCAUUUACACCAGCUGCCCAACUAUCUAUAAACCUAGCCAUGGCAAUCCCCCUAUGAGCAGGCACAGUAAUUACAGGCU